UUUUUUUUUUUUUUUUUGGGAAUUGGUUUGCCGUCAUAGAUGCUUGUGUCAGUUUUCUGGUAAAUGCCAGGAUUGUCCUAGUCGCUCGAGGACGCGUGAGCCGAGGAUAAAUUGAAUUGUUUCCUGGUCGAAGAGAUGGAGAGCUCGUUUACGUAUUAUUCACUUGAUCGUGCAUGGAAAUUUCCGACUCUGAGACGCAGUAAUUUCAAAAUUUUCUUCAGAUUUUCCGAUUAAUGUCAGCAUGAAAUUCAGUUUUUGAUCGUUGGUUUUCUUUUAGUGUGCUUAGCUGAUUGCAUUGGACAUGGACAGAUUGAUUGACUUGAUUAUGUUUGAUGCUUAAUUUGCAUAUUAAGCCCCCUCUUACUUCUCCCGUGGAUCGCCUUUCUCGAGUACUUUCAGUUGGAAUCGGAGGUUCAGCUCUUGGGCCACGGUCUGUUGCAGAGGCAUUGGCUCCCGAUAAUCCUCUAUUGAAGUGUCGAAGACCAGAGUGUCCAUCCUCCUCUCGCAAUCUACCCUUCAGCCUUCCAGGAGUUGGUAUUGCUCUAUGCUGAAGAAGUGGACGAAACUGAUGUUCAAGGUGAAUCUGAGUUCAAAUCAUUGGAUGUAUAGAUCUAUGAGAGAAUCCCUAUUUCAGCUUUGCCAUUAAAUUCCUUAUGAUAUCUGACAUUACCAUGUUUGUCGUUUAUUUAAUUUUUCCACAUGAAUCGAUGAGCUCUAAACUUCUAGAAUUGAAUUCGCUGCAUUUUUUUACAAUUGAUUAGGAUAUCUUUCCUCACAAAGUAUCAUUCUGUAUCAUGGACACGUUGGAGAGUUUGGAUUAGCAGUGCACAUCAAGUCCAGUUCAAGGCAAGAACCAGGCAGAGCCAUCCUAAUCAAAGUCCGUUUCAGAUUAAGCUCCCUCCUACUUCUCCCAUGGAUCGCUUUACUAAGUACUUUCAGUUGGAAUCGGAGGUUCAGCUCUUGGGCCACAGUUUGUUGCAGAGGCAUUGGCUUCCGAUAAUUCUCCAUUGGAGAUUAGAUUCAUUGACAACACAGAUCUGGCUGGAAUUGACCAUCAAAUUGCGUAGCUUGGUACUGAGCUGGCUUCUACCCUAUUAAUUGUGAUAUUAAAGAGUGGUGGUACUCCAGAAAUUUGAGAUGGCUUAUUGGAAGUACAUAAGGCCUUUCAUGAAGUGGGAUUGGAAUUUGCAAAACGGAUAUUGCAUUGAUCACUGUUUUUCCAAUUUUGAGUGCUGGGUGUUGCCAUAACACGAGAACUUCUUGUUGGACAAUACUGCCCGGAUUGAGGGCUGGUUGGCUAGAGAUCCAAUGCUUGACUGGAUGGGAGGCAAAACAUCUGAAAUGUCUGUAGUUUGUCUACUUUCAACAGCCCUUCAAGUUCGUAAGCCUAACUUCUAAUCUCAUUGUGGUUAUAUUCUGAUUGGACUCAGAGCAUAUUCAUUAGUGACUCCAACUUCAGGGGAUUGAUAUCAGAGAAAUGCUUGCUGGCGCAUCCUGAUGGAUGAGGCAACUAGGACGAAUGUGGUAAGAUUGCUGUCAACUAAUGUUAUUUGGUGUUUCUUCGGAACAUUCUGUUAUUACCUAAGUCCAGUAAAGGAAUUAGUUUCGGUAUCAGUGGGACAACUUAUGGUGUAAAUCCCUGCUCUGUGUGUAGUACUCAGGAUUCUGCAUGUGCACUUUUAUGAUGUAGGAAGCUGGGUUGCCAGAAUGAACUAAGUACGGUUGAGAUAUCAGUCUUGAUUAUAGAUAGCUAAUCAGGCAUUCAAGGAUGUCAGCUAACAAGUUGAACAGUUGUCUCUGAUAGUAUACAUUGUGAUGUAUGCAAGAGUAACUUGUGAACUUAUAUGCAGCAGAAUUGUCACUCGUAUCCCGGCAUUAUGCACUGAGAAGAUUUUGUAGUGUAUGUGCUAUAGGAUGUCACCCAAUAUAAUUCAUUGUAAACUAGAAUGUAGAUGAUCCAUUUGAUCCAUUUAGGCUCAUGACUGGCAAUUCCAAUUGUUGUUGCUGAGUUGCUUCAAGGCAUGUUCAUUUCCAGUUGCUGAUGCACGCUACAGUGAAUCAAAGUACAGCCUUUUGGUUUCA